rnacentral:rRNA from 1 species
AACCGAGAUUCCCCCAGUAGCGGCGAGCGAACGGGGAGGAGCCCAGAGCCUGAAUCAGCAUGUGUGUUAGUGGAAGCGUCUGGAAAGGCGCGCGAUACAGGGUGACAGCCCCGUACACAAAAGCGCACAUGCUGUGAGCUCGAUGAGUAGGGCGGGACACGUGGUAUCCUGUCUGAAUAUGGGGGGACCAUCCUCCAAGGCUAAAUACUCCUGACUGACCGAUAGUGAACCAGUACCGUGAGGGAAAGGCGAAAAGAACCCCGGCGAGGGGAGUGAAAAAGAACCUGAAACCGUGUACGUACAAGCAGUGGGAGCACCCUUUGGGGUGUGACUGCGUACCUUUUGUAUAAUGGGUCAGCGACUUAUAUUCUGUAGCAAGGUUAACCGAAUAGGGGAGCCGGAGGGAAACCGAGUCUUAACCGGGCGUUAAGUUGCAGGGUAUAGACCCGAAACCCGGUGAUCUAGCCAUGGGCAGGUUGAAGGUUGGGUAACACUAACUGGAGGACCGAACCGACUAAUGUUGAAAAAUUAGCGGAUGACCUGUGGCU